GAUGAACGCUAGCUACAGGCUUAACACAUGCAAGCCGAGGGGAAACGAUAUUGGAAGCUUGCUUCCGAUAGGCGUCGACCGGCGCACGGGUGAGUAACGCGUAUCCAACCUGCCCACCACUUGGGGAUAACCUUGCGAAAGUAAGACUAAUACCCAAUGAUAUCUCUAGAAGACAUCUGAAGGAGAUUAAAGAUUCAUCGGUGAUGGAUGGGGAUGCGUCGGAUUAGCUUGUUGGCGGGGUAACGGCCCACCAAGGCGACGAUCAGUAGGGGUUCUGAGAGGAAGGUCCCCCACAUUGGAACUGAGACACGGUCCAAACUCCUACGGGAGGCAGCAGUGAGGAAUAUUGGUCAAUGGGCGAGAGCCUGAACCAGCCAAGUAGCGUGCAGGAUGACGGCCCUAUGGGUUGUAAACUGCUUUUAUAAGGGAAUAAAGUGAGUCUCGUGAGACUUUUUGCAUGUACCUUAUGAAUAAGGACCGGCUAAUUCCGUGCCAGCCGCCGCGGUAA
rnacentral:rRNA from 1 species